CAAGUAUUAAUAUAACUAAAAUACAUCCAUUAAAGUUAAUAUACGUACAUAAGAAUUUAUUAAAGUAAAUAAAUAAACAGUUAAUUUCACUUCGGUUAGUGCAGGAAAAGACAGAAAGCCAGACCCUUCGCUGAAUUCACGAAACUCACCAUGUCAAAUGCACUGUCUUCCUCUCCCACCUCCCCACAAAACGGCCGGUUCCAGCGCGUUUUCACCGAUUCGGACGAAAUCCGCCUCCUCAAAUCCCUCACCAAAGCCGCCGCGAAAUCGGAAUCUCCUCAGAUCA
rnacentral:lncRNA from 1 species